CAACAAUGGAAUGUGGAACCAGAUAAGGGUGGACCAUGGAAAAGAGUUUUUCUUGACUCUAUUUAUGCAAGAAAUUCUUGCUGACCGCAGAAUGAAUACAGCAACACCACCAUAUCGUCAGACCACAUCAACAAAGAAUCACACAAUUGAGAGAAUUUGGCCUGAAAUAAACAACAGGGUUAAUUACCCUUUGAAGGAGGCUCUUGUUCAGCUGGUCGACCAAUAACUGAUUGAUAUGGACUGCAACCUAACAAGAUACUGUGUGUCUAACCUUGUCUGUCAGCUGUGUCAUCUGGGCAUUAGCAGGGUAGUAGAGGCAUGGAACAACCACAGGAUUCCUGGAAAAGGAAUCUCCAACCAGAUUGCACAGGGUGGUGGUUGUGCAAAAAAAAUCUCAGCAGCACUACUGCCUCAUGGAACUGAAGCAGCUGAUCUGUACAUGAACACACUGGGAUCAUCUUUGACAAGGGUUUCGGCCUUUGGAACAGACCCUUUUACAAGUGAACAUGAGAAGGCUACAGUGGAACAACUGUUUUCAGAAAAGUGGCCAGACAUCACUUACUUGCUCAAUAAUACGGUCAACAAAAACUUUUUGCCUUUUAAAGAGGCUUUGGUCUGUUUAGUAAAUUUAACUCAAAGAUACUCUUAAAGAGCAUGCCUUCUAAUUGUUCAAUGCUGCUUUCAGUGUUUUUUCUAGAAACAAAAUAUUACACACAAAUUUAAGCAUCAACAUGAUGCUGAUAAAUUAAAGUAUUUCUUUUUAGUUCUUGUUUUAAGUAGUUGUGCAACAAAACUUUACACAACAACUGUCAAAUAAACUACUGAACUAAACUUGAAUUGCUGAACAGCUAAACAUUUUUUCCUGGGUAAUGUA